UUUAAAAUUGUUUUACCCAGGGGCUAAACCUAACCGUUGCGUUGGUAGCUGAAGGUACCUGGAGAAUAAGCAUCGGCUUAUUCCGUGCCAGCAGCCGCGGUAAUACGGAGGAUGCGAGCGUUAUCCGGAUUUACUGGGUUUAAAGGGUGCGCAGGCGGUUGUUUAAGUCAGGGGUGAAAGCCCUAUGCUCAACAUAGGGAUUGCCUUUGAUACUGAACGGCUAGAGUGAAGAUGGAGUGGGUGGAAUGUGUUGUGUAGCGGUGAAAUGCAUAGAUAUAACACAGAACACCGAUCGCGAAGGCAGCUCACUAAUUUUCAACUGACGCUCAUGCACGAAAGCGUGGGGAUCAAACAGGAUUAGAUACCCUGGUAGUCCACGCUGUAAACGAUGAUCACUAGCUGUUGGUACGCUGAAGUAUCAGUGGCUAAGCGAAAGUGAUAAGUGAUCCACCUGGGGAGUACGACCGCAAGGUUGAAACUCAAAGGAAUUGACGGGGGCCCGCACAAGCGGAGGAGCAUGUGGUUUAAUUCGAUGAUACGCGAGGAACCUUACCAGGGCUCGAACGCAGGGGGGAUAUACCUGAAAGGGUAUAGCCAGCGAUGGUCGCCUGCGAGGUGCUGCAUGGUUGUCGUCAGCUCGUGCCGUGAGGUGUCAGGUUAAGUCCUAUAACGAGCGCAACCCUUAUCCAUAGUUGCCAGCGGGUAAAGCCGGGGACUCUAUGGGAACUGCCUGCGCAAGCAGAGAGGAAGGAGGGGAUGACGUCAAAUCAGCACGGCCCUUAUGUCCUGGGCUACACACGUGCUACAAUGGUCGGUACAGAGGGCAGCGACCACGUGAGUGGGAGCCAAUCCUUAAAAGCCGAUCUCAGUUCGGAUUGGAGUCUGCAACCCGACUCCAUGAAGUUGGAUUCGCUAGUAAUCGCGCAUCAGCCAUGGCGCGGUGAAUACGUUCCCGGGCCUUGUACACACCGCCCGUCAAGCCAUGGGAGCUGGGGGUACCUGAAGUUCGUGACCCGCGAGGGAGCGACCUAGGGUAAACUCAGUGACUGGGGCUAAGUCGUAACAAGGUAGCCGUAGAAU
rnacentral:rRNA from 1 species